GAACUUAUCUACAUUCAAGCAAAACUAGCUCUUUUAUAAGACAUGUAGUUGCUACCCUUUUGGGCCUUUAUCUUGCACUUUUUUGCUUUGGAUGGUAUGCCUUACACUUUCUUGUACAAAGUGGAAUUUCCUACUGUAUCAUGAUCAUCAUAGGAGUGGAGAACAUGCACAAUUACUGCUUUGUGUUUGCUCUGGGAUACCUCACAGUGUGCCAAGUUACUCGAGUCUAUAUCUUUGACUAUGGACAAUAUUCUGCUGAUUUUUCAGGCCCAAUGAUGAUCAUUACUCAGAAGAUCACUAGUUUGGCUUGCGAAAUUCAUGAUGGGAUGUUUCGGAAGGAUGAAGAACUGACUUCCUCACAGAGGGAUUUAGCUGUAAGGCGCAUGCCAAGCCUACUGGAGUAUUUGAGUUACAACUGUAACUUCAUGGGGAUCCUGGCAGGCCCACUUUGCUCUUACAAAGACUACAUUACUUUCAUUGAAGGCAGAUCAUACCAUAUCACACAAUCUGGUGAAAAUGGAAAAGAAGAGACACAGUAUGAAAGAACAGAGCCAUCUCCAAAUGUAAGGUCAUGAGAUUUAUCUGGAGCCUUUAUAGCAUGUAUUGACUGCGGUGAUUCAGAAGCUCUUAGUUUGUGGGCUGUCCUUGUUAUUUCACUUGACCGUCUGUGCGACAUUGCCUGUGGAGUACAACAUUGAUGAGCAUUUUCAAGC
rnacentral:sRNA from 1 species